CCCACUUUCAGCUACAUCCUACAACUCCUGGGGAAGGCAGGAAGGAGCAGCACAGUGCAUGCUGAGUCAGUCUGGUGAGCAGCAGUGGCUGCAGUAAUAUGGUAACUUGCACAGUCCACUUCAAAGGCAAUUAGGGAUGGGUAUGAAAUACUGGCCAACCAGUGAUGUCCAGAUCCCGGAAAUGAACAGGAAAAAAAUUGCACACACUAACAGGCCUUAAAAUUUGCACUACGCAUGCACAGAUAAAUGUUAGCUGCAGCUUCUUCCGGUAAAUACUCCUAUCGCAGACAGGCACACACCGCUUAAAUGUUUUGUCUGGUGAGGGAGCUGUUCAUGCUAUCACCCGGAACAGCCUGGUCAUGUCAAUAUACAGCCUCAGUGCAAUCUUAUUGCCUCCCCUGUUGACACAGGAGCUUCACUCUGUGGUUCAUGUUCAAAGUUCAGUUUGCACUGAAGCUCAGACAGCUUUCUGUCACACACACACACACAGGUUGUUAUCCACUCAGCAAACACUCUUUCACACCUAGUGCUGAUCCCCAGACAGACUUGGUCUUGAGCUGGUGAGCUGUUAUGUUUAUUUUAAAAAAAAGCCUUUCAUGCUUCACCUACUGUCUGAGCAAUGGUGAUUUAGUGAAUGCUACUGUAAGACUGGCUUAUGGGUUGAUCUGGCUGUAGCACCGGGAGAUAGAGGUUGAGACUUAUUGAGAAAAGCAGAUGGAGACAAGUUGUUUGAAAAGAAAGUCAGUACUGAAGUGAAGCUGUGGAAUUGAGCCUUUAAAAACGAGCCCAGGCAUCAUCCAGACACACAACAAUGCACACAUGACACAUACACUAAACACCAAAAGACAGUGUGUGCAUACACACAAAAGCAACAAGAUUAAAAACCACUUUACUCAAAUUUAGCAAAUGACAUUUCAAAAAUACAAGACAGAAGACAGCAAUUUUAAAAAGGUUCUAUUUGUUUUGCGGAGUUAAAAAAGAAAUCCACAGAGAUGUCAAAACCUGAAACUAAUCUGCACCAAAAUACGGUAAAAAAAUACAACAAUGCUUACAGCAUGCCUCAGAAACUGUUGCACAAAAAUGCAGCUCUGGAAGGGGAUGACAUAGUUAAUUAAUUCACCUAGGCAGGAACUACAGAAAUAAAAACUUCAAUUUUUUACAACUGAAAUUUCCUUGUGAAGCCUUAAGAUUUUGUUUAAGAAAAAGUUCAAGUGAACAGUAACUUACUUCAGGAAGGACCAAUCACAUUAAUUGUUAUCUUCAAAACACACCCUGCUCUCUCCCAAAAAGCUAGAAUGCACAGUCAGAUAGUGUCAUACAAUUCAGAUAUAUAGUUAAAAUUCACUUUUGUAAAACUUCUAAUACAUUAGCUGAAUGCUUUUGAUCUUUUAGGGCAUGCAUCUAAAAAUGGGGUUUGUCAUUAAGAUAAUGUACAAUAUACAAAGGCAUCAACAUUGAGAUACCCUUGGACCCUAUAACAAUGACAAGACCACUGCAAAAUUAACUGGCCAAACCAGACUAAGUGAAAAUUACUCACACAAGAAACAUUAGUUACAAAGUGUCUUCAAGAUUGUAAGGAAGUCUAAUUCUCAUUUUGAAAACAAAAAAGUGUUCAACACAACAUAAUAAAUUACACAGGACUAGUCAAAAAUCCCAAAAAGAGGUCUCAAAAAUCCUGCUUCCAGUGCUAGACCAGCCAUUUUUACAGAACCAAUCUUUAGCACCCAAGGACUCUCUCAAAGAAUGCAAGCAACCAUUAAAAGUAAGUGAAAUUGUGUAGCUUACAGCGUUAGUAAUAUUUGUGGAUCUGUACAGAUCCAAAGUGUUAGCAAAUGAGAAUGUGUCACCUGACCAUAAAAUAUUAAUGCUGAGUUUUAAUAAAAAAAAAGGCCUGCUUUAACAUCAAUGUUGACUGUAUUAAAUUACAGGUGACUGUCUUUCUGAAGUUGACCAGUCAACUUGGAGUUAUUAACGUUAACUGUUCUAAAUAAGAGAACAGUCUGUAGUCCUAUCCCAAGUAUCACUCCUCACUUUUCAGAUUAAAAGCAGAAGAAAUUAUGUGCAGAAAUACAAUACAAACUCAGACACCACCAUCGCUCCCGCACCCUCUUCUCACAACCCUCUUUAGCACCUGUACAGUGUAGGAGUAGAGACCUUAAAGUCCCAUGUUUCCAGAAAAAAAAAAACAAAAAACUGAUACAAAUGCUAGGUCCAUUAGUGCAUUAGCGG